GAUGAAGAACGUAGCGAAAUGCGAUAAGUAAUGUGAAUUGCAGAAUUCAGUGAAUCAUCGAAUCUUUGAACGCACAUUGCGCCCGCCAGUAUUCUGGCGGGCAUGCCUGUUCGAGCGUCAUUUCAACCAUCAAGCCCCCGGCUUGUGUUGGGGACCUGCGGCUGCCGCAGGCCCUGAAAACCAGUGGCGGGCUCGCUAGUCACUCCGAGCGUAGUAAUACAUCUCGCUCAGGGCGUGCUGCGGGUUCCGGCCGUUAAAAAGCCUUAUUUACCCAAGGUUGACCUCGGAUCAGGUAGGAAGACCAGCUGAACUUAAGCAUAUCAAAAGCGGAGGA
rnacentral:misc_RNA from 1 species